rnacentral:lncRNA from 1 species
CCCACGCCUCCUCUCCCUUUUAGCCACGCCCCUUUUGCCUUUCGGCCGACCAAUCCAAACCAAGCCCGGGCGGGGAGGCUGGGGUAGAAAAAAACUCACCCCCUCAACAUAGGAAGGAAACCACGCCCCGCCGGCCUUCGCUUCCCACCGAGAAGGCGGGACCGAAACAGACCAUAGAGAAGCAGAAGGAUGGGCGGGGGGAGGGCGGCACGUUUGGUAACCUUAGCAACCGCAGAGGACCUCCGGUUAACCUCCGCCGAGGGGGUUUCAUAGGCGGCCUGCCAGGUGCCUGAUUGGAAAACGGCAUGUUGUGGUCCUCCGCCGUUGAAUCCCGAUGGAAGAAGGACAUGGCGGAAGGCUUUGUUGUAAAUUUUCCACAAAACUAGCUGACAGGUGGGACAGAAUUAUUUUCAGCUGGACUUCUCCAAAAUGGCACACCUCCAGAUGUCUUGUAAUACAACUCCCAUUAUCCUUUGCAGGCAUGAUUGGUAAGUAUGAUAAGGGUUGUUCUCCAGAAUACCCAGAGAAUAAUAGAUUGGAGGGAUACUGUUUUAAAUAAACAAACACAAUGAACUCCUAUAGCCUCUUUUUGGGCUUUAGACCUGCUGUACCUGAUAGAAGGAAAGAGCAGCCACUGGUAAGAGAGUUUUGGAUUUGUAGUCUCACGGAAGGACUGUGAGGAAGGGGCCAGCCGAGCCUUAUGAGGCAGGGAACAACCUGAGAAAAUGCCCAGUCUUGUUCUCUCCAAAUGUGCCCGGGAUGGUGAUGAGACCAAGAGAAGGCUUCUCAAAGACCUUGGGAGGGGUGGGAUUAUAUGGGGAGACAUGAAAUAAUCCUUGAAAUAAUCUGGACCCAAGCAAUAUAGUGCUUUAAAGGUCAUAACUAACAUAUUCUCGAAGGCUUUCAUGACCGGGAUACAAUGGUUGUUGUAGGUUUUUCUGAUUGUUUUAGUCUGCAGUGUUUUUCACAUUCUUUGAUUCUGAUGUGGAUGCUGUGUUUUGUGGUCACAAUAUAUACCUGGCCACAACUCCAAGGUAUCCGGUAUACUCCUGCAGUGGUGAGGGGGUCCCUUCUGUCGUUUGCUGACCAUAACAUUUGUUGUAUUUUUGUGGUGUAGGUUUGCUGUUUGUAGGUUGUGCUUUUUCAAAAGUUUCCCCAUGCGGUCCGUGACCCCUUUGAUGUAUGGCAGAAAUACUUUAUUUGUGGGUGGCUGUUUUUCUUCUUCAGUUCGGUGUUGUUUUCUUGGUUUGAUGGCUCUUCUGAUUUCAUUCUUGGGUUUUCUGUAGACCUUGUGUUUUCUGCAGGUUACCUGCGAGGGUGUUGUUCCUACCCCUGUCGGCAGCCUGCCUGCAGCAUGUUGAAGUUUCCAAACUUGUCUUAGAAGGCAGCCCCACCUACAACAGGUUAUCGUCAACUGUACAAGAGAUAACUAAGGUAUGUGCCACGGUAGUCAAGCCAAACAUUUCCAGAAAUAAGAAAUUGUAAAUGUCGGCCAGAACAGGGCUUGACAAAAACACACCUGUGAGCAGCCCUUCUAAGGAGUCCUUGUUGUGUGGGAA